ensembl:lncRNA
CUUUUCUCCAAAUAUGUAUGUAGGCUAUACAGUACACAGAGAAUUUGAUAUUAGUUGAGUUCGUCCUCUUGACUUAAUGGUUUUGUACAGUAAUUUAUACACAAAGACAUAAAGAAAAUUAGCCUAAGGGUUUCAAAAAGUUGUUAUAGUUCUCCUCUGAUUUAUUGUAAAUAUGUUUUUGAUUCUGUAGCACAUCCUUAAAACCUCUUAAUUACUUUCUGUUUGGUUAAUAUUGGUGCAGUAUGGCACCAAUAAAGUCCAUUAAAGUUUGAAAGUGAUUGCUUGGAGACAGACCUGUGCAAUCUUGUAAUCAAAAGAGUUACAGUGACCACCCAGAAGUUGAGGGUUUUGCAAGUUCAACCUAUACGCAGCCACUUGGUCACUGCAACUACUUGCAAUCAGUUGCUGAAAGUAAAAAUUCAAUGCAGUCACCGGGCAUCAAGCAACCAAGGGGGUGGUAUCCUAGUUUUAAUUUACUGCGACUGAUCAGUUACAACUUAACAUGCCCAGAGCCAGCACAUAAUGAAGACCACUCAUGUAAUUCGGUUUAUUUUCCCUGAGGAAAACCAUAAUAGGAAAUUCUUGCUGAGGACUGCAUGCUGCACAGCCAGUGAUUCUUGCUGACGACACUCCUCUCUGUGUGUAAGAGCAACAAUACAUUGUAGCCAGUCUGAGGUUAAGCCUAAACUUCAAUAGCUGCAUUUUCUCCAUGAUAACUUUUUCAUUUAUCUUUGAUUUAGUUAAUGGUAGUUUUCACUGUGUGAUGCUUUUUGGCUCAACGAAAAGUUAGAAGUGAACAGGAUCCAGACAGUCCCCCCUUUUAUCAGCCUUAAAGAUGAAAAUCAGUUUGUGAUUUGAUUGUUGUCUGUUUAUUAUUGUUGUUGACUGUGUCAAGAUGCAGUGCUAAAAAUCUAAGGGUGUAUAUUUCUAUUCCCACCAGGGAUAAAAUUGCACUCUGUUCCUGCUGACUAAGACUGAACAUUAGAUAUUUUGGAGUAAAUAUCUAACUCUCCAAAUUUCAAGGGAUGAUUAAUGCUUAACUUUCCUGACACCUAUAAUGUUUAACUCCCUAAAUAUCUAAGCAUUUAAUAAUUACAUUUCUGGGAAUCUUUGAAACUUAACUUGAUUCUCUUUGUCCUCUCUCUGUGCAAAAGCAGCAGCAUAUUCAUUGAAGAUAUUUUGAGGUGAAACUUAAACUUGAUUAGUUUCUCUCCAUUAUAUGGUGGCUGUGUGCAUCCUAGUCUAGUGUACACAUGAUUUUUUUAAAAAUAAAAAGGUUUCAGGUCCAAAGGCUCUGUAGUACAGCCCUGAAUGUUUCCAAAACUGAAAAGCGUGAGUGCACAACUAUAUAAUAACUAGCAAAAACAACAAAAAACUGAAGUUAUUUUUUGAGGCAUAUUAUGGUUGCAGGACAUUGUGGGUGACUAUAGUAUGCAGAAAUUUAGAGUUAGACUUUUAGAAGUUUCAUAGACAGAGAGAGUGUGUAGCUGUGUGUGUAUUUGACACCUGUGUUUGUGUGUAGAGCAUGUUGAAGUGUGAGACAGCGACAUGACGGGACAUUUGUAAUACACGUCUGUGAUUUUAGUUGUAGGGAUAACAACUGUCAUGUGUCUCAGUACAGGUUUUAUAGAUUUAUAGGUUUAAGGCACUUCGUUUUAUCUACCAUAUGCUCAAUCAUGUCAUGGUUUAAAGAAAACAUUUUGUAUGUAAAAACAAAAUCAAAUGUUGGCACAAG